AGUGAACGCUGGCGGUAGGCCUAACACAUGCAAGUCGAACGGCAGCACAGUAAGAGCUUGCUCUUACGGGUGGCGAGUGGCGGACGGGUGAGGAAUACAUCGGAAUCUACUUUUUCGUGGGGGAUAACGUAGGGAAACUUACGCUAAUACCGCAUACGACCUACGGGUGAAAGCAGUGGAUCUUCGGACCUUGCGCGAUUGAAUGAGCCGAUGUCGGAUUAGCUAGUUGGCGGGGUAAAGGCCCACCAAGGCGACGAUCCGGAGCUGGGCUGAGAGGAUGAGCAGCCACACUGGAACUGAGCCACGGUCCAGACUCCUACGGGAGGCAGCAGUGGGGAAUAUUGGACAAUGGGCGAAAGCCUGAUCCAGCCAUACCGCGUGGGUGAAGAAGGCCUUCGGGUUGUAAAGCCCUUUUGUUGGGAAAGAAAAGCAGCAGGUUAAUACCCCGCUGUUCUGACGGUACCCAAAGAAUAAGCACCGGCUAACUUCGUG
rnacentral:rRNA from 1 species